CCGCCCAUAGCUCAGUCGGUAGAGCAGCAGCCUUUUAAGCUGAGGGUCCCAGGUUCGAGCCCUGGUGGGCGGA
rnacentral:tRNA from 1 species